GGACGAACGCUGGCGGCGUGCUUAACACAUGCAAGUCGAACGGAAAGGCCCUGCUUUUGUGGGGUGCUCGAGUGGCGACCGGGUGAGUAACACGUGAGUAACCUGCCCUUGACUUUGGGAUAACUUCAGGAAACUGGGGCUAAUACCGGAUAGGAGCUCCUGCUGCAUGGUGGGGGUUGGAAAGUUUCGGCGGUUGGGGAUGGACUCGCGGCUUAUCAGCUUGUUGGUGGGGUAGUGGCUUACCAAGGCUUUGACGGGUAGCCGGCCUGAGAGGGUGACCGGCCACAUUGGGACUGAGGUACGGCCCAGACUCCUACGGGAGGCAGCAGUGGGGAAUAUUGCACAAUGGGCGGAAGCCUGAUGCAGCAACGCCGCGUGCGGGAUGACGGCCUUCGGGUUGUAAACCGCUUUCGCCUGUGACGAAGCGUGAGUGACGGUAAUGGGUAAAGAAGCACCGGCUAACUACGUG
rnacentral:rRNA from 1 species